CAAAAGCUUAAGUUAAUAAACUAUUAUCCUUCAAAGAUAGAAUUUCCAUCUUGAUAGUGU
rnacentral:tRNA from 1 species